GCAAAACAUUUAGCCUAAGUUGGAAUGAAAGAGACCACCAAGUUCCAAGUGCAGCCCACUGUUUUAUGAAUUGUUUUGGAAAAGAAUAGCAUUGUCUUAUGUAUACAAUUCACAUUACAAAUUAAAUGAGGGAAGUGACCAUACUUGAAAGUCUCGGCCAUACACAUACCACCUUUGGAAAAUUCAACAUACAAUUGAGAAAAGGUAGAAUGAGCUAAAUCCAAGAACAAAGUCAUCCCGUGAAACACCAAUUGGAGAGCUAAAUCCAAGCACAGGGGAUUGAUUGAAGAAAAAUGAAAAAGGCUAACUACUAGGUGGUGGAUCAGCCGCUACUCUAUGGCACAAAGAGACAACACACAUGCUGAUUUUUGGGGUCUCUUAAAACCUCCUUCCUCUCGGCAAUUUGGGGGGCAUCCUAUCUUUUCUCUUUUCCCGUGGAGUAUAGCAAGAGUAUUACAGAGAUCAUGGCUUGAUGAAGGAAGAGAAGGUGCUGGUGUGAGAUGAUACGUCCAGAGAGCUAGAAGAGGGAAGCAAAACUGUAUUUGAUUCUUGAAACACUACUGGAAGAAGACACAAGACCAAGAGAUGGAAAGUAAGGAGGGUGGAGCCGUGUGAAGAGUGCUUUGGAGAAGAAGACAAAAGCUUUCAAAGAGCAUCUUUUGGAGAAGGAAUUUACGUGAAUGGAAGCAACUUUUCAGAAUUCUUAAACCAAGUGCUUUCUUUCAUGUGAUUGAGAAGAAGUGGCCCACGGCCCCUUUCUUGCAUUUCUUACUCUAUUUGGAAUUGGACAUGACUAUAAUGGAAUAAUGGUUGCACGUUUAUUGCUUUCAUUUUAAUAGCUUUCAAUUACUCUUUGUGAAUAG
rnacentral:sRNA from 1 species